AACAAGAAAUGUGGUGCGGAGGUAUAUAGUCUAAUCAAUGCAGUUCGAGUUGAUCUUAUGGUGCUGUAACCAUUGCACCAUAUCAUGUAGACAUUUAAUUUAAAUUGAACCUUUAUUUAACCACAGCCUAGGCGCUCUACCGGUUAGCAUAUGUGCCUUGUCUUUAUGACAAUGGGGUUGAGGAGAUUAUAGACAGUAAUUGUGUCAUCUUACAUUGUAACAGACAUUAAUUGUGUGAUCUUACAUUGCAGAAUAAAAAUGAAAGGUGUUGUUGCAUUUUAAUUACUUAUGAUCAGGUCUAGUCACUUUUAUUCAUAAUCAUAAUCUCCAGUGUCUGAUGUGUUGGUUAGCCAUGGUUUAUUUGCAUGAGAACAUGUCAUGCUUUAACAACUGUAUAGCCUUGCAUGAAAUACAUGGCCCCAGGAACCACCUGGGGUAGGCCUAUUUGGCCGCAUGUAGUCUGGUCUAUUGUGUAUUUGUAACCCCCACCUCUACUGUCGAUAGUGGUCAUGAGUAUCAUAAUAAUUUAAUUACUUUUAGCCCAAUGGACACAAAACAUUUUUAUUACAGAUUAUAAACGUGGUAUCACAUUAUACUUGUGUGUUACUGUUAGAGACUAUCUGACUUGAUCCCGUGUUAAUCUAUUUAUAAUUCUAUAAUUAGCCUAGCAGUAGUAAUUAUCAUGUUAUGGUUGAGAUGGAAUGAUCUAUGUGCAUUAUAUUUGUAGCGGUAGUAAUUAUUGUGUUAUGGGUUAGAUGGAAUGAUCUAUGUGCAUUAAAUUUGUAGCGGUAGUAAUUAUUGUGUUAUGGGUUAGAUGGAAUGAUCUAUGUGCAUUGUAUUUGGGCAGAGGGAAAGGGGGCCUGUCUCUUGAGGCCAAGAAUGAUUCCACGAGGGUUGAAUAGUAGUCAUGUGUCUGGAGUUAGUGCUGAUAGAUCAUAAUUACUAAUCUAUAACACUUUCUUAUAUCUUUACUGUUUUAUAUCAUUGUAUACUCUUGGUGUGAAUGUACCCUUUUUAUAUAUUCUUAGAGAUUGAAAUUAAGUGCUAGGUUUAAGCUCUUUGUGUAUGAGAAGUGUAAUUAUCUAGUGGUCUUCAGUGGACUUUAGGAAUGUGUACUUCCAAUAACUCAAGGCCUCUCCUGACUGACAAGAAGACCCGUGAAAGGCACGGAGGAAUACGAAAGCUCUGGAUUUAGGCUGGGACACGAUAACACCAACGGGAGGAACAGACUCAGUUCUUGCCCAGCAACAGAGAUUGAUUGUUUAAUACAGAAAUACAACAAGGUCACUCCGCCUAAUCGGAAGGUAUAAAUAUAUGCGCUUGUGUGACCUGUAGGAGUGGUUUUGCAGAUGUAACACCCAGUGUUGUGAAUAAAUCAAGCUUGAGUUUUUCUUGGGAGUCCGUCGGGAUUAUUGUACCAGAAAUUAGAAUCCAACCGUUAGGAUGGAAGUUUUUCUUUGUCAAUACAUAUAACAAUAGUAAUUUAGCAUAUAACCCAUACGAUAUCAACUGUCAAUAGCUUUCACGUUUAGAAUUGUAUGUAUCAGGAACUCCCAUUGUGUCACAAAUAACUGUGAGGUCAAUUUCCCCAACUCACUCGGCAGGUUCUGGGCUCAAUAGAUUGGUCUUCAAAGGACCCCAAAGAACUGCAAGCUCCUCUGGCACCCAUACUGCAUCAACAAGUCAAAGCUCCGGGCCUGAUGUCUUUCAGGCAUCCCGGUCCCCUACCCGUCUCUUAAAGCUCUGGACCUUCUACCCAUGUGUCCCCUACCACUAAGAAGACCAGGCAGGAGGUAACCAGCUCUGUAUUUGGCACUUGACAUUGCAUUAUGAAAACAUGCAUUUCACAUUCGAUUCAAAUGGGUGACAGUUAAGCUGCUUUAAAUGUGUCAUAAUCUUCUCUCGGCAUCUUGAGUCCAUGGGCUUUGCAACUGUGUCCAGAGCUUCAGAUUCACCAGAAAAAGAUCCAAGAGUCUUCGGCCAUAUUGGAGUAUUGUCUUUCUAAGGAGGAUCAGGGAACUGCAGCCUCCUUCACCUCGUCCUGCGCAACAUCCAUGAUCUCCACCUUCCCAGCUGGACACAAGCUUUAGCUCCCCUGAUUACAAGGACCAGGGCUCUGACAACAUACUGUACCUCCAACAUCCACCAAAUCAAGUCUGGAGUCUUGAGUUCGACUCAACUACAUCUUAAACAAACCGUGAUCAGUGGACCCAACGGAAGUAUACUGUGCAUGGAGUCCAAGAUCAUGGAUCUAAUCAAGCUUAUCCAAAAGUGUUGGUCUGCCAUAAUCAACACCAGCAAAAUAUUAAAAGGAAGACAAAUUGAGAUCAACUGGCAGAGCGCAUCAAAGGAUGUAUGGGGAGUUGGGGAUCUUGCCCGAAUGUUAGAAGGAUGUCACAGGCUAAUGUAGUUGCACCGUCUUCAGUGCUGUUCACUGGUGACACUUUCACAGACAUACAUUACUAGGCUGAACUAUGUCCAAUACAGUUCCCUUCACAAACAACAUAAUUCUUAGUCCUCUUACUUCCUACCCGUCACAACCCAGGAUUACAGACAGACUGAAGCAGGAAAAUAUCAUUUCCACUAUUGUUCAGAAUGGCAAUGAAGGCAAAGCUGUGCACAUCUGUGGUGAUGGAAGGAAUGACAGCCCUGGCUGGCCAGUCCGCUAAAUUUACGACAUAUAGCUUCAUGGAUGACAAGACCAAGAAAGUAAUUCAAGCUAAUGUGAUUUCGAUCACUGAAGCCACCAGGUCAAUUUCAAGGACUGAACAGCAUACUGACAGAGGGUGUACCUGUAGAGUUUAUAACUACUCUUGUUCAACAGGGCUGGCACAGUUAUCGUAUAAUCGUGUAACAGACAAUUAUGAACAAUAAACGUGAACUCAAAAAUAU